rnacentral:rRNA from 1 species
UACGGAGGGUGCGAGCGUUGUCCGGAAUCACUGGGCGUAAAGGGCGCGUAGGCGGUCUGCUAAGCGUGCGGUGAAAGCCCCCGGCUCAACCGGGGAACUGCAGGGCAUACUGCGAGCCUUGAGGUAACUAGAGGCGGGCAGAACGAUAGGAGGAGCGGUGGAAUGCGUAGAGAUCUAUCGGAAUGCCGAAGGUGAAGACAGCCCGCUGGGGUUUACCUGACGCUGAGGCACGAAAGCGUGGGGAGCAAACAGG